rnacentral:rRNA from 1 species
GGCCUUGACAUACUAAGAACUUUCCAGAGAUGGAUUGGUGCCUUCGGGAACUUAGAUACAGGUGCUGCAUGGCUGUCGUCAGCUCGUGUCGUGAGAUGUUGGGUUAAGUCCGCAACGAGCGCAACCCUUUUCCUUAUUUGCCAGCGGGUAAUGCCGGGAACUUUAAGGAUACUGCCAGUGACAAACUGGAGGAAGGCGGGGACGACGUCAAGUCAUCAUGGCCCUUACGGCCAGGGCUACACACGUGCUACAAUGGUCGGUACAAAGGGUUGCUACCUCGCGAGAGGAUGCUAAUCUCAAAAAGCCGAUCGUAGUCCGGAUCGCAGUCUGCAACUCGACUGCGUGAAGUCGGAAUCGCUAGUAAUCGCGGAUCAGAAUGCCGCGGUGAAUACGUUCCCGGGCCUUGUACACACCGCCCGUCACACCAUGGGAGUUUGUUGCACCAGAAGUAGGUAGUCUAACCGCAAGGAGGACGCUUACCACGGUGUGGCCGAUGACUGGGGUGAAGUCGUAACAAGGUAAGCGUAGAUGA